GAUGAACGCUAGCUACAGGCUUAACACAUGCAAGUCGAGGGGAAACGAUAGAGAAAGCUUGCUUUUUCUAGGCGUCGACCGGCGCACGGGUGAGUAACGCGUAUCCAACCUGCCCACCACUUGGGGAUAACCUUGCGAAAGUAAGACUAAUACCCAAUGAUAUCUCUAGAAGACAUCUGAAAGGGAUUAAAGAUUUAUCGGUGAUGGAUGGGGAUGCGUCUGAUUAGCUUGUUGGCGGGGUAACGGCCCACCAAGGCUACGAUCAGUAGGGGUUCUGAGAGGAAGGUCCCCCACAUUGGAAAUGAGACACGGUCCAAACUCCUACGGGAGGCAGCAGUGAGGAAUAUUGGUCAAUGGACGAGAGUCUGAACCAGCCAAGUAGCGUGCAGGAUGACGGCCCUAUGGGUUGUAAACUGCUUUUAUAAGGGAAUAGAGUGAGUCUCGUGAGACUUUUUGCAUGUACCUUAUGAAUAAGGACCGGCUAAUUCCGUGCCAGCCGCCGCGGUAA
rnacentral:rRNA from 1 species